rnacentral:lncRNA from 1 species
AAAACAUAAUGUGUGUUAUAAUUGCUAAGUUCAACUGAGCAUUGACCUAUACCAUGUGGGUUAUAGUUCAAUGUAAGUACAAUACACUACAACUGUAUACCGAAAAAUAAAUUUAAAAUAUAAAAGUGUAUGCUAUAUACUAUGUAGCUAUGCUACUGUAAUCUACAAAGUAUGUUUAUCACUAUCAGCAAUACAUGUACACCACAAAGGAACGCCUAUAUAAACUAAGUGUACAUGUCCA